rnacentral:lncRNA from 1 species
UCAGAGAAAAACACAGGGAAAACAACUAACCGAAACAAUUUUCUCUUGUUAUCAUUAGCCUUUGAAAAAUCUAUCACCCCCGUACAAUCUUCAAGCCACAACAAGCUCACCUUCAUUCCUAUCACCAAUCCAAAUCAAAAGCAAGCAAUCGAUUGAUACCCAAUCGUUAGCAAACCUCAAGCCAAACCUACCCACUACUACCGCCACAAUUAUUCAGCCUUAACCAUCCAUCUCAAAACAUCCAGAACCAAGCACAAUUAUCCCUACUACCACCCAUCACUAAUCUAGUCGCCGAACAGCCACACCAUUUUCUGAUGUUCAGCAUAGAAGAACCAUACGCCAAAUAUGGAGAGGUUGGAAAGUAAACUUUUUUAGGCAGUAGUUCAAAUUCGAGUAGUCUUGUUUAGUGAUUCGAGAUUUGGAAGUGUUUUGGUGUAAUUUUGAAAAAUUUUGGCAGUAGUGACUUUUAGUUUUCGGUAUUUACAUGAUUUGAGGGGUUUUUUUUUUUUUUUUUAAGUGUUAGGAAUCGGCAGGAUCAAAGGGAAAGGAGACUAGGAACGAAGGCAGAUCAAUAGAACCAACGACUGCUCAAGGCUUUGGAUCCUUUGAUAUACGGUUUUGGUUUCCUUUCUAGAGUCUUGAUUCAACAAGGAAAAUAAAAGAUUGGAAGAAAAGAAAAGGAAAAUAAAGGUUGAGGUUUGGAAUUUGUCGGCAAUAGAAGGGAGCUGUUGGAGAAAAGAUUGAAGGUGACACAGCUGGACUUAAAAGUGUAAAGGACAAAAAAGUUGUAUUGAAGAAGGUAAGAGGAAGGGCCUUGACUACUGACUAUAGUAGGAAAAGAAAUGAUUAAAAUAGUUGGAAAUUUUAAUUAACUCGGCCGUGGUUUCUUACAAGCCCAAACAUGGAGUAGGUUUGCAAUUUGCCUUGGAUCAUAUUCGGCUUUAGCCCAAUUUAUUUGCCCAGAUGUGGAGUACGGUUAAUGGAGCUAUUCGGCUUUAGUCCAAUUUAUUUGGUAAUUGCUAUUUUUGGUUUAUUUGUAUAUUUAUUAACUUCACUUAGUUGUUUCUUUUUUUUUUUAAUUGUUUUUUAUGUAUGUUUAAAAUAAAUUUUAUAAUAAAUUCAUAAAAUCUUAUAAAAUAGUUGGAG